rnacentral:rRNA from 1 species
GACGUAGGGCGCGAGCGUUGUCCGGAUUUAUUGGGCGUAAAGAGCUCGUAGGCGGCUUGUCGCGUCGAAUGUGAAAACUCGGGGCUCAACCCCGCGCUUGCAUUCGAUACGGGCAGGCUCGAGUUCGGUAGGGGAGACUGGAAUUCCUGGUGUAGCGGUGAAAUGCGCAGAUAUCAGGAGGAACACCGGUGGCGAAGGCGGCUCGCUGGGCUUUACCUGACGCUGAGGCGCGAAAGCGUGGGGAGCGAACCGG